CCUACGGGUGGCAGCAGUGAGGAAUAUUGGUCAAUGGGCUUACGCCUGAACCAGCCAAGUCGCGUGAGGGAAGACUGCCCUAUGGGUUGUAAACCUCUUUUGUCAGGGAGCAAUUGGCGCUACGUGUAGCGUUAUCGAGAGUACCUGAAGAAAAAGCAUCGGCUAACUCCGUGCCAGCAGCCGCGGUAAUACGGGGGAUGCGAGCGUUAUCCGGAUUUAUUGGGUUUAAGGGGUGCGUAGGCGGAAUGCCAAGUCAGCGGUAAAAUCGCGGGGCUCAACCUCGCUCCGCCGUUGAAACUGGCGUUCUUGAGUGGGCGAGAAGUAUGCGGAAUGCGUGGUGUAGCGGUGAAAUGCAUAGAUAUCACGCAGAACACCGGUGGCGAAGGCGGCCAACUGGGCUUUAACUGACGCUGAGGCUCGAAAGUGUGGGGAGCAAACAGGAUUAGAUACCCGAGUAGUC
rnacentral:rRNA from 1 species